AUUGAACGCUGGCGGCAGGCCUAACACAUGCAAGUCGAGCGGAUGAAGGGAGCUUGCUCCUGGAUUCAGCGGCGGACGGGUGAGUAAUGCCUAGGAAUCUGCCUGGUCGUGGGGGAUAACGUCCGGUAACGGGCGCUAAUACCGCAUCCGUCCUGAGGUGGAAAGUGGGGGAUCUUCGGACCACACGCUAUUAGAUGAGCCUAGGUCGGAUUAGCUAGUUGGUGGGGUAAAGGCCUACCAAGGCGACGAUCCGUAACUGGUCUGAGAGGAUGAUCAGUCACACUGGAACUGAGACACGGUCCAGACUCCUACGGGAGGCAGCAGUGGGGAAUAUUGGACAAUGGGCGAAAGCCUGAUGCAGCCAUGCCGCGUGUGUGAAGAAGGUCUUCGGAUUGUAAAGCACUUUAAGUUGGGAGGAAGGGAAGUAAGUUAAUACCUUGCUGUAUUGACGUUACCAACAGAAUAAGCACCGGCUAACUUCGUG
rnacentral:rRNA from 1 species